rnacentral:rRNA from 1 species
UACGUAGGGAGCAAGCGUUAUCCGGAUUUAUUGGGUGUAAAGGGUGCGUAGACGGAGAAGCAAGUUAGUUGUGAAAUCCCUCGGCUUAACUGAGGAACUGCAACUAAAACUACUUCCCUUGAGUACUGGAGAGGAAGGUGGAAUUCCUAGUGUAGCGGUGAAAUGCGUAGAUAUUAGGAGGAACACCAGUGGCGAAGGCGACUUUCUGGACAGUAACUGACGUUGAGGCACGAAAGUGUGGGGAGCAAACAGG